GACGAACGCUGGCGGCGUGCUUAACACAUGCAAGUCGAACGAAGUGGCGAACGGGUGAGUAACGCGUAAUCAACCUUCUCUUCAGAGGGGGACAACAGUUGGAAACGACUGAUAAUAUCGCAUACGGAAGGAGUGGAUUGUGUCUGAUUAGCUAGUUGGAGGGGUAACGGCCCACCAAGGCGAUGCUCAGUAGCCGGUCUGGUGGGAUGAACGGCCCAAUAGGGACUGGGAAACGGACCAGGCCCCUACGGGAGGCAGCAGUGGGGAAUCUUCCGAGAUGGACGAAAGUCUGACGGUGCAACGCCGCGUGAGUGAUGACGGCCUUCGGGUUGUAAAGCUCUGUUUAUCGGGACGCGGUACCGGAAUAGAAAGCCACGGCUAACUACGUGCCAGCCGCCGCGGUAAUAC
rnacentral:rRNA from 1 species